UUUUUAAACAGAAAGUUUUUCCACCUUCUAAAAAACACAUAUUCCCAACUUGCCACACUGUAACAACCCCCAAUGUUCCUUUAAUGCAACUAGCCCUCUAAUUAUCUACUAGGCACAAACACACAUAGAUGAUUUAACUGCAUUAGGAGCAUUUUGCUUUUUCUUUAGCGAUCUUAUCAUGACAGAGGUCCAGCGUAGCCAGGUCCAUCGGAGCCACCAAAAGUUUUUUCAUCUUGCCACUGACCAUUCAAACAGGUUUUCACCUGUUGCUUACACCUUUAUCUCUGCAUCUCAGAGGCCAGCUGAAACAAACCACACCUAUAUAAAAAUCCCCUGAUCAGCCACACUAACCCUUUACAUCGGCCAUUGAGAGCAUAACACUUUGUUCACAGCACGGACAACAAACCUAAGAGCCUUCUUUUCAACAUGGACAGCAUAUAUGGUAGGUAAAACAAGACUAUAACGGAUUCUUAAAUUUAUACAACUGUAUAUCAAAAAAUAUUCAAAAUGUUUUCUCUUCUAAACAAAAGCCUGAUUUUUAGGAACAUGGCACACUGGGACAUCCCACGCGGCACAUACACAAGGAUCACAAAGCUAUAUAGGGCAAACAACACCUCUAACUAAGGAGUGCGGGAUGACGUCGGGAUCAACCAUGACGAACAGUCAGAACAUCGUCCAAGCCACAGAAGCUCUAGAGCGAAACAUGCAAGCGUGGGACCUCUCAGACUCGUCAGACUCCCCACCGCCUGCGCUGCUAAUCCAGACCCCACCACCUCCUCCCCC